CGAAAGUUCGCGCUCUAUUUCGUAUCGCGUACGGAACAACACGGUCUGUUUGAGGAUUUUUCGAGGCGGUUGCGACAGACAGACGUGAAAGUAGAGUGGCUCGUUACGUGGCUCGUUGGAUGGAACGGGACAUCCAUCGGUUAUCUAUCAUUACAUCCGCAUUAUCAU